CGGUAACAGCUCAAAUUUGAAAUCUGGCUCUUUCAGGGUCCGAGUUGUAAUUUGUAGAAGAUGCUUUGGGUGUGGCCCUGGUCUAAGUUCCUUGGAACAGGACGUCAUAGAGGGUGAAAAUCCCGUAUGUGACUAGGUGCUUUCGCCCGUGUAAAGCUCUUUCGAC
rnacentral:rRNA from 1 species